rnacentral:rRNA from 1 species
AGAGUUUGAUCAUGGCUCAGAUUGAACGCUGGCGGCAGGCCUAACACAUGCAAGUCGAACGGUAACAGGAAGCAGCUUGCUGCUUCGCUGACGAGUGGCGGACGGGUGAGUAAUGUCUGGGAAGCUGCCUGAUGGAGGGGGAUAACUACUGGAAACGGUAGCUAAUACCGCAUAAUGUCGCAAGACCAAAGAGGGGGACCUUCGGGCCUCUUGCCAUCGGAUGUGCCCAGAUGGGAUUAGCUUGUUGGUGGGGUAACGGCUCACCAAGGCGACGAUCCCUAGCUGGUCUGAGAGGAUGACCAGCCACACUGGAACUGAGACACGGUCCAGACUCCUACGGGAGGCAGCAGUGGGGAAUAUUGCACAAUGGGCGCAAGCCUGAUGCAGCCAUGCCGCGUGUAUGAAGAAGGCCUUCGGGUUGUAAAGUACUUUCAGCGGGGAGGAAGGGAGUAAAGUUAAUACCUUUGCUCAUUGACGUUACCCGCAGAAGAAGCACCGGCUAACUCCGUGCCAGCAGCCGCGGUAAUACGGAGGGUGCAAGCGUUAAUCGGAAUUACUGGGCGUAAAGCGCACGCAGGCGGUUUGUUAAGUCAGAUGUGAAAUCCCCGGGCUCAACCUGGGAACUGCAUCUGAUACUGGCAAGCUUGAGUCUCGUAGAGGGGGGUAGAAUUCCAGGUGUAGCGGUGAAAUGCGUAGAGAUCUGGAGGAAUACCGGUGGCGAAGGCGGCCCCCUGGACGAAGACUGACGCUCAGGUGCGAAAGCGUGGGGAGCAAACAGGAUUAGAUACCCUGGUAGUCCACGCCGUAAACGAUGUCGACUUGGAGGUUGUGCCCUUGAGGCGUGGCUUCCGGAGCUAACGCGUUAAGUCGACCGCCUGGGGAGUACGGCCGCAAGGUUAAAACUCAAAUGAAUUGACGGGGGCCCGCACAAGCGGUGGAGCAUGUGGUUUAAUUCGAUGCAACGCGAAGAACCUUACCUGGUCUUGACAUCCACGGAAGUUUUCAGAGAUGAGAAUGUGCCUUCGGGAACCGUGAGACAGGUGCUGCAUGGCUGUCGUCAGCUCGUGUUGUGAAAUGUUGGGUUAAGUCCCGCAACGAGCGCAACCCUUAUCCUUUGUUGCCAGCGGUCCGGCCGGGAACUCAAAGGAGACUGCCAGUGAUAAACUGGAGGAAGGUAGGGAUGACGUCAAGUCAUCAUGCCCCUUACGACCAGGGCUACACACGUGCUACAAUGGCGCAUACAAAGAGAAGCGACCUCGCGAGAGCAAGCGGACCUCAUAAAGUGCGUCGUAGUCCGGAUUGGAGUCUGCAACUCGACUCCAUGAAGUCGGAAUCGCUAGUAAUCGUGGAUCAGAAUGCCACGGUGAAUACGUUCCCGGGCCUUGUACACACCGCCCGUCACACCAUGGGAGUGGGUUGCAAAAGAAGUAGGUAGCUUAACCUUCGGGAGGGCGCUUACCACUUUGUGAUUCAUGACUGGGGUGAAGUCGUAACAAGGUAACCGUAGGGGAACCUGCGGUUG